UGAGAGUGUCCCUGAGGACGGCCUGCUACCGGGAGCUGGAGCUGUCAGUCUCUGUUCUCAGAAUCAAAGGAAGUUUCCCGAAACUCAAAGUGCAAAGUACCUUAUGUCACUGGACAGUCAGAAAGAAACUCUACCCGGCAACAGGAUUGAACCAAUGGAAUCAAUUCACUAUCAACAAAAAAAAAUCAAUCCUGGAAUAUUUAUGAUGAACAUGAGAAAAAAUGAGUACUCUUUAUCUGUUGGAUGAAAAAGCAUCAAAUAUCAACCAAUAUUGCAUUUCACUAGAAAAGAUUGGAUAAAGGAGGCAGAUAUUACUAAAAGUCAAUCAUUUAAAAGACGAGUGAGCUAAACAACAGUUGAAGUCUCCUCCUAAAACCAUAUAAUACAGACUUAAAUCUGGUAAAAGUGGAAAAAAAGCAUUCAGAAAACCUGAAUCAUCUAUAUUCAGGGCAUACAAAUUAGCAAAGACAUUCAUUUAUUAUCUAAUUUCCCUGAGACUAUAACAAAACAUCCAUUAGUGUCGGACAAUAUAUUAUGUUCAACGAAAGAAACUGAGUUGUCUAUAAGAA